rnacentral:rRNA from 1 species
UACGGAGGGGGUUAGCGUUGUUCGGAAUUACUGGGCGUAAAGCGCACGUAGGCGGAUUGGAAAGUAUGGGGUGAAAUCCCAGGGCUCAACCCUGGAACUGCCUUGUAAACUCCCAGUCUAGAGUUCGAGAGAGGUGAGUGGAAUUCCAAGUGUAGAGGUGAAAUUCGUAGAUAUUUGGAGGAACACCAGUGGCGAAGGCGGCUCACUGGCUCGAUACUGACGCUGAGGUGCGAAAGUGUGGGGAGCAAAC